rnacentral:lncRNA from 1 species
AUGAUGCUUGUUGAGGGCUUACUGUGUUCCAGACACAGUCGCGUUACGCGCUGUACUUAUUUCAUUUACGUCAUUUACCAUUAUUUUUCCCCUUUUAUAGAUAAGGACACAGGCCCAGAGAGGUUAAAUGACUUUUCCCAGGAUACACAACUGCGAAGCAGUCGAGUUGGGGUAGACACCAAGGCUUCACUGACAGCAGCACUGGCGCUGGACAAUCGACCUGCCUCGGAUGGCCCCCAAGGCAGGUCGGCGUCACUUGAAACAGCAGACUGUGGCGGUUCACGCAGGGCCCUGGAGGUGGACCUCAGCACACAGGCUGCACUGAAGGAACAGCCCAGAGUGGACAACAGGAAAAAAGUUACAAUAGAGGAAAAAUACAGGACCCCCUCUGGCGACAGGAAGCAGACCACUUAACGUGAGGCUGCUGAGAAAAGCGAGUGACAAGGCGGGAGCAAAGUGAUGGGGACAUCAGUUUUCCUCAGAAAGCAAGUGGGAGCCGGUGAUGGUCAUAGAGCCAUAGAGUAGCAGGUUCAGCUGCGUGCGGCCGCUUGUGUGUGACAGGAGGUGAGAGGACUGUGGAUUGAUUGGCCUUUCCUCAAGGGCUGAGGGGGGAUGGGGGGGUAGGGCUCCAUGGCAGCCCCUCUGAAGGGCUCCACACGAAGACAUCUUCCCACGCCCCCCAUCAGUGCGUGCCAGGUUCUGGGGGACACAUGGUGGCCACCUCGAGAAGCCUGCUGAGGCCCCAGGAAGCAGAGUGCAGACUGGAGGCUGCUCACCAGCGGCGGUGCAGCCGAGGCAUCUGAGAGCAG